rnacentral:rRNA from 1 species
UCAUUAUCGAGUCCCGAACCCGUCGAGGGGGGCGUAGAACCUCCCCUCGUCGGUCCCUCACGUCUUUCCCGUGCACCCAUCGUAGGUCCUCGGAAAAGGGGCCCUACGUACGUCCUCUCGACCUUUGAAAGUGUAGACUGCGGCGGCGAUGCCUUUGAUAACUUUCAGCGACGGAUCUCUUGGCUCUCGCAUCGAUGAAGAACGUAGCGAAUCGCGAUAAGUAAUGUGAAUUGCAGAUCUCCCGUGAAUCAUCGAAUCUUUGAACGCACCUUGCGCUCCUCGGUAAUCCGAGGAGCAUGCCUGUCUGAGGGUCUUGGUACUCUCGAGUCCGGAAUCCGUCGCGAUUCCGGGUUCGGAACUUGGGAGCUCUGCGGGCGUUCGUUCGGACGUCGGCUCUCCUGAAACGCAUCAGCGAAGGGAUGGCACGGAACCUGGCGUGGCACGCCUCGACGUCGCAAGGAUCGUCGUGGGUGCAGGCGAGGCGUCGUCCCGCGCUUCCAGCGUCCGGCGGGCUUAAGCCGCCGUCGAAGGUCGGACCUCAGAUCAGGCAGGACCACCCGCCGAACUUAAGCAUA